GGGCAUAACUCUGUAAGACCAGUGGAUUUAUCUAUGAAUAGGGUGAUGUCAUGCCAUAGACAGUUGGACAAGUCUGUCCUUGGUAAUAUAUGGUUGCUUGAGACCAGAAGAGCACAUGUCUGA